CCUACGGGCGGCAGCAGUGGGGAAUAUUGCGCAAUGCGCGAAAGCCUGACGCAGCGACGCCGCGUGAGGGAUGAAGGUCUUCGGAUCGUAAACCUCUGUCAGCAGGGAAGAACGGUCACUGUGCUAAUCAGCAGUGAAUUGACGGUACCUGCAAAGGAAGGACCGGCUCACUCCGUGCCAGCAGCCGCGGUAAUACGGAGGGUGCGCGCGUUAAUCGGAAUUACUGGGCGUAAAGCGCUCGUAGGCGGUAUGUCAAGUCAAGGGUGAAAUCCCCGCGCUCAACGUGGGAACUGCCUUUGAAACUGGCAAACUUGAGUGUGUGAGAGGAUAGUGGAAUUCCAGGUGUAGGAGUGAAAUCCGUAGAUAUCUGGAGGAACAUCAGUGGCGAAGGCGACUAUCUGGCACAUAACUGACGCUGAGGAGCGAAAGCGUGGGUAGCAAACAGGAUUAGAUACCCUGGUAGUC
rnacentral:rRNA from 1 species